GAUGAACGCUGGCGGCAGGCCUAACACAUGCAAGUCGAGCGGAUGACGGGAGCUUGCUCCUUGAUUCAGCGGCGGACGGGUGAGUAAUGCCUAGGAAUCUGCCUGGUAGUGGGGGACAACGUUUCGUAAGGAACGCUAAUACCGCAUACGUCCUACGGGAGAAAGCAGGGGACCUUCGGGCCUUGCGCUAUCAGAUGAGCCUAGGUCGGAUUAGCUAGUUGGCGGGGUAAGGGCUCACCAAGGCGACGAUCCGUAACUGGUCUGAGAGGAUGAUCAGUCACACUGGAACUGAGACACGGUCCAGACUCCUACGGGAGGCAGCAGUGGGGAAUAUUGGACAAUGGGCGAAAGCCUGAUCCAGCCAUGCCGCGUGUGUGAAGAAGGUCUUCGGAUUGUAAAGCACUUUAAGUUGGGAGGAAGGGCAGUAAGUUAAUACCUUGCUGUUUUGACGUUACCGACAGAAUAAGCACCGGCUAACUCUGUGCCAGCCGCCGCGGUAA
rnacentral:rRNA from 1 species